rnacentral:lncRNA from 1 species
UUUUUAUUUAGUUUCCACUGGUAAAUACAGUUAAGAGUCACUAAACUCUUUUAUGUUGUAAAGCUAUUAUAUAACGCUAAUCCCUUUUUUCCCCAUUAGGUGCUAGAGUUGGUAUGAAGGGUUUACUGAAGUCGAGGGUGUGUUUGAUCCUGCCUAAUACAUCUGCAGCUGACAAUGAGAGAAGAAACGAAUGUCACAUGAAGUCUCGCCCCAAAAUCAUCAUGGGAUUUGUAUUCUUUUGAGUACUUUAUUUCCUUUUUUUCCGUCUUUAUGACCUUGGGACAUUGGGAAUGCCCAGCGAACUCUCCGCCAUCAAUGUAACUCCAUGGACUUUGCUGCUGUUGGUGGUGUGGUUAUCUAAUUUUUGUGAUAGGGAAACAAAUUCUUUUGAAUAAAAAUAAAUAACAAAAAAUAAUAAAAGUUUAUUGAGCCACAGCUGAGCUGGGAAAAGUUUUGUCAAAUGUAAUGAGAGAUACUUUCUUCAAGAAGUUGCACACAUGAAUUACAGAGGAAUGUUUUAGUGGAUAAUUUUAAGAUCCAUUAUUUCCCAACCAUUUUGAAAUUAUGUAUAUCAACUUAAACAAAACAAAGUAUAUGGGUAUCUUCCAGAGAACUUAAUGUUUACAAUAGAAAAGAUUACAAUAACUAGUUCUCUUUGCCUUUUAAAUGUCACAUAUACAUACCCUAAAUGUCAAGUCAAUUUAUUUUAUAAAAAUUAUAGGUAACCCAUCCAGGGUUAGACAGUGAUUUGGAUAAGGGUAAGCAGACUUUCU